ACGAACCGUGCGAACGUUAUUCGGAAUCACUGGGCUUAAAGGGCGCGUAGGCGGGCUGCCAAGUCUGGGGUGAAAUCCCGCGGCUCAACCGUGGAACUGCCUCAGAUACUGGCGGCCUCGAGGGGGAUAGGGGCGAGCGGAACUAAUGGUGGAGCGGUGAAGUGCGUUGAUAUCAUUAGGAACUCCGGUGGCGAAGGCGGCUCGCUGGGUCUCUUCUGACGCUGAUGCGCGAAAGCUAGGGGAGCAAACGGGA
rnacentral:rRNA from 1 species